rnacentral:rRNA from 1 species
AGAGUUUGAUCAUGGCUCAGGAUGAACGCUAGCGGCAGGCUUAAUACAUGCAAGUCGAGGGGCAGCAGGGUGUAGCAAUACAUCGCUGGCGACCGGCAAACGGGUGCGGAACACGUACGCAACCUUCCUUCAAGUGGAGAAUAGCCCAGGGAAACUUGGAUUAAUACUUCGUAACAUUAUGAAAUGGCAUCAUUUUAUAAUUAUAGUUCCGACGCUUGAAGAUGGGCGUGCGCCUGAUUAGGUAGUUGGCGGGGUAACGGCCCACCAAGCCUACGAUCAGUAACUGGUGUGAGAGCACGACCAGUCACACGGGCACUGAGACACGGGCCCGACUCCUACGGGAGGCGGCAGUAAGGAAUAUUGGUCAAUGGACGCAAGUCUGAACCAGCCAUGCCGCGUGGAGGAUGAAGGUCCUCUGGAUUGUAAACUUCUUUUAUCUGGGAAGAAACCCAUGUUUUCUAAUAUGGUUGACGGUACCAGAUGAAUAAGCACCGGCUAACUCCGUGCCAGCAGCCGCGGUAAUACGGAGGGUGCAAGCGUUAUCCGGAUUCACUGGGUUUAAAGGGUGCGUAGGCGGGUUGGUAAGUCCGUGGUGAAAUCUCCGAGCUUAACUCGGAAACUGCCGUGGAUACUAUCAAUCUUGAAUAUCGUGGAGGUAAGCGGAAUAUGUCAUGUAGCGGUGAAAUGCUUAGAUAUGACAUAGAACACCAAUUGCGUAGGCAGCUUACUACACGAUUAUUGACGCUGAGGCACGAAAGCGUGGGGAGCAAACAGGAUUAGAUACCCUAGUAGUCC